GCUCUUAUAGUGUAAAUAACACCUUACAUUUUCAUUGUAAAAAUAAAGAAAUAUCUUUUAAGAGUA
rnacentral:tRNA from 1 species